rnacentral:rRNA from 1 species
GAUGAACGCUGGCGGCGUGCCUAAUACAUGCAAGUCGAGCGAACGGACGAGAAGCUUGCUUCUCUGAUGUUAGCGGCGGACGGGUGAGUAACACGUGGAUAACCUACCUAUAAGACUGGGGUAACUUCGGGAAACCGGAGCUAAUACCGGAUAAUAUUUUGAACCGCAUGGUUCAAAAGUGAAAGACGGUCUUGCUGUCACUUAUAGAUGGAUCCGCGCUGCAUUAGCUAGUUGGUAAGGUAACGGCUUACCAAGGCAACGAUGCAUAGCCGACCUGAGAGGGUGAUCGGCCACACUGGAACUGAGACACGGUCCAGACUCCUACGGGAGGCAGCAGUAGGGAAUCUUCCGCAAUGGGCGGAAGCCUGACGGAGCAACGCCGCGUGAGUGAUGAAGGUCUUCGGAUCGUAAAACUCUGUUAUUAGGGAAGAACAUAUGUGUAAGUAACUGUGCACAUCUUGACGGUACCUAAUCAGAAAGCCACGGCUAACUACGUG